AGCAAACUCAAGAGCUUUCACUCCACACUUGCCCACACGUUUUUUCCGCCAAGCUUCCAAGCUUUCAAGUGCUCAAGUGUCCUAGCUUUCCAAAGCUUCAAAAGCUCUCCAACUUCUUCUUCUAAUCUUUUUGUUCAUCUUUACAAGUAAAAAGUGUUGUUUUCUUUAAUAUUUCACUCCUCUAAUCUCCUCUUGUGUGUGUCCACUUUGGUUGAGAGGGUUGUCUCAAUAGUACCAAAGUGUGAGAGAAGGUUUUCGAGCUCAACCAUAAAGCUCUAGUUUGGUUUUAUAGAGUUUCCGGGAAAACUCUUAGGUCGAAUCUACCUUGAAAGAUUUCUAGGUUUUUAAGAGUUCCUUGAUACUCUAAGGUACUAACUUACCCGUAAAAGUUAGAGGUUCUUAAGAGUGCCCUUGAUACUCUAAGGUGUGAGUCUACCCGUAAAAGACUGGUUCCUAAGCGAAGUAGCCUUAAAGCUUAGAGAAGUUCUUAAGAGUUUCCUUGAUACUCUAAGGUUUUGCCAUAACCUUUAGGCGAGUGAAUUCCGGCAGUUGGUCGGGAAUGGACUAGCCCUUGUUUGGGUGAACCAUUAUAAAUCUCUUGUGUUGUUCUUUGUUAACUCUAGUUUUUAUAUUUCAUCUAAAAACAACUAAACAACACUUAAUUGAAAAGGAUCCCUCUUCCAGUUAUCUGGUCAAAUACAGAGGUUGACUACUUUACACAGAUCCCUCAUCCAGUUAUCUGGUCAACUAUCUGAGGUUAUAUUAAUU
rnacentral:lncRNA from 1 species